AAAACCUACUGUAUCAUGUUGAUUAACCAAGCAUGUACAUAUAACAUUCUUAUACACGCUUCAGACAUGGGUCACGUGGCCCCCAUAGCGACUUAUUAAGGUUGUCAACAUGUGAAUAUAAAUAUUGUUCCUUAACAAAUUUGUCGUUCAAUUUGAACUUUGUAUCACAAAGGUGGACAUCUUUCGAAAUAUGACUAAAGAAAAAUGGAUUACCUUAAUAUUAGCUUGUGGCACAGGUUUCAUAAUUUUGAUCAUCGUGCAUCUACCACGUACAUAUUUAAUGAACGACAGAAAAUUUCCCGAGCCACAAAAGCCGGUUCUCAAAUUAAAAUAUGACGUACUAUUAAACAGUUACAUGCGUGCCGGAAGUUCUUUAACUGGCGCUAUUUUAGGGCAUAGAGCAGAUUCGUUUUAUCUUUACGAGCCCCUUUGGAGAAUUGCAAUGUGGACAUAUUGGCAUGGUAACAACAUGACAUGUAGAUCUGAUCUUCUACAGUGCAGGUAUUUGACAGGUCUUUGACUCGAACUAUCUUUUGAACACAUUUUGAAUGUUUCAGUGUUCUAAUAGUCAAAUAAAUUUGUACCAAAGUACGCCCAAAAGGGAACGCAUCAGAUUUUGUACAGAUAUUAAUUUUGAAAAAGAAAAAAAAAAACAUUUCGGGAUUGGAACCAUUUAACAUAUGUAACCAUUAAAUGGACUUUUGGAAAUUUUCUCAUAUAUUUGAGUAUUUAUUUUACGAAAUGAUACGUUAUAGAAGUGGUGAUAAAUGACAAGUCAGGCUACAAAACACGUAUCAUAUCAACUAACAACUAACUAUGAGCUAUAUCUCAAAUGUUUCGUGUGUAGAUUGUGAGCAGUACAAAGUAUUUAAGUUGAAAUGUCUAAAUUUGUUAAAGUAUGCAUAGAGAAUUUGAUGUCCUAACACAUUAAUGUUAAUGCAAGGAAAUACGAAAUUAUUUACAUAUCCUUAAGCUUAUUCAACUCUUUAUUGCUAGCAGCAACGUAUGGAGGUUAUUCGUUGCCUAAAAUCUAACCUUUGAAACUUGACAAUUCAUUCUUCGGUUCUUCUGAACAUAUUAAUAAAAUUGAAUUGUCGAUCUGAGAGUUACAUACUGUACUGGUAUUAAGCGUAUUGAUUUUCUCGAUUUGAAACAACGGAACAUGUAACAUGCAACUAAUAUUUAUUUCAAACUGUAUUUAGAAAUGUAUGACAAACUGUAUUUAGAAAUGUAUAACUUAAAAUUGACGACAUGUAGAUAAUCAUGUAAACAAUAUAAUGUACACAGCAUGUUUUAUGCCGUACAUCAUGACGUUAGGAAUGUUAAUGCACUUUCCGUGAUAAACAUUUGUAAACUAUUUUGCAACUUCCAUUUAUGGCAUUAUCAUGGAAAUAGAAGGACAUAAUAGGCGGAGCCAAUUUUGACUCGAACAAAAUAUAAAAAGAGUCAACACUUACUGUACAAUAAUAAUAAGUAAAUAAAACUGUUAUAUAUUCCGCAUACAUUAGUACAUGAGCUGCAUUACCGUAGACUUUGAAUAUCCUCUGAUUUUGUAAAACCAAAGUUGUAUGUACAACUAUCCCUUAUCUUUUAUUUUAAACCAUGCCUUAUAGAUAACUAUAUCUUCUCAUUUUAUACCAUAUUUCUUUCAAUAAAUGGGUCAAAAGAUGAGUAUGUUGAUUUUCAAUGUAUGUAUACCAUAUUUAUUUUAUUUCUCAGAAGCCAUCACCUGCAGGAAAUAAAAACUUGUGUAGUAUUUCUUGUAUUAAUAGUUCUCUGCUGUUGAUCAGAAGUACAGCAAACGGCAUACAUAUUGACAUCAUGUAUAUACAGAUUUAGGAGCUGUCAUUGAUUUAGUUAAAUGCAAAAUGGGGUUCGCUGAAGACCUUAAGCUACACAUCACCUUACAUAUAUAUUAACGUAAGUUUUUUUAGUGGAUACACCACGGAAAAAGCAAUAGCAAUCUUACGUACACUUGGUAGAAAUGGGUUUUUCUACAACCCAGUAUAGUCCUUAACAUGCUUACUGGUCCGUCCUAUUAAUUUAUGUUGCCAAAAGUGAAAUCCAUGUAUCACAUUCUAGUACUGACAGAUGAAUGUGAAAAAAGAGUAUGAAUACGUCUGUAUUCAAGAAGUCUAUCCUUUUGUAUAACUUCAUUAUCCUGAGUACGAAAACGUUCUAACUAUUGUUAAAAGCGUUUUUUUUGUAAAGUCAUCCGCUAGUAUUAGGAUUACUGAUGUUAUAGUAAAUGCUACUACUAGGAAAUACAGCUCAGCCAGAAUUUGGUUCGUAUUAGGAUCUGAUCGUAGCACAAUCUCAGCUGUUGAUUUUAAUAUCUGAAAGUGGUGAGGUAACUGCCUAACUGUCAGUGUUACUCAUACCAAUUUCAGUAAAAUUGAUUUGUCUUUAAAAAGAGCAUGUUGAAUAUAAUCUGUACAAUGAUUUUACUUUCGUUCAUUUGUUUCCCAAAACAACUCCAUUAUAAGUUGGACUGAGACAAUUACCUGGUGAGUUUUGAGUUUUCUGAUAUUCUUUCUCUAGGAAAUAGGGUAUCUACAACGUUUUAAAGCUUAUAGGCCUAUAAUCAUUUAAAGUUUGCUGAUGUUGAGUGAAUAAAGAAGGCCAGAAUGGCAAUCAUGCAAGCGAGUUAUGUUUGGUGAAACACAUUCAUGAUUUACAAACACCUAAAUGACUCCACAGAAUUUACCUUGAAAUCUGUGGGUAACGAAUAUGCAUGUUCUUGUUUCCGUGUGAACUCAGACCGCAGAAGGAGAAGCACGAUUAAUACCGAAAAUGAGCGGAUAAAUACGUUAAUUAACGAUGGUGUAAUGGCUUAGGAAAAGGGUGGAGCUUGUUCAUAUCUUAUAUCAAAACGUGAACAGAUCCGAAUCAUAAUGGUUUGACAUUGUUAAGCUAAAGCAAAAAAGUAACUCAUGUUUUGUCGGAGUAUGAACGAACGUUGAGUUUGUAGCAUGUUUUGAACACUUGGUAUUCUCUCGGAAAACAAGUUAGAGUCUGGCUAUGAAAUGUUAUACAAGUAUCAUGUUUAACUUUGUAUACCCAUCUCUUUUUAGUUUCCCUUCUGCUGUAUGGUACAUACAAAUACACUUA